GCGCAGGUGGCAGAGCGGUCAAUUGCACCUGGCUGUAGACCAGGCGCCCUUUGGGCUACGGGGGUUCGAAUCCCUCCCUGCGCA
rnacentral:tRNA from 1 species